rnacentral:lncRNA from 1 species
CCCCCGCUAAUUUGGAACUCAGGGCUCUCAAUCUCCAUCUGCUGUGUUGGUGACAAUUGAGAGUCCCUGCUUAAGCUUGAAUAAACGACCCUCAUGUGCUUACAUCGGAAAUGGCCUCCUGGUGGUCUUUGGGACCUUGCAAUCUGGGCACAACACCAGCCACAGUAAGAUACUACUUUACUCCAACUAGAAGAGCUAUUGCCAAGAAGACAAUAGUAAAUGCUGAUCAAGAUAUAGAGAAAAGGGCAGCCUUCUAUGCUGUUGUUAGAAAUGUAAACUAGUACAACCACUGAGGAGAACAGAUUGAGGUUCCUCAAAAAAUUAAAAGUAGAGUUACCUUAUGACCCAGCGAUCCCACUACUGAGUAUAUAUCUGUGGAGAACACUUUGAAAUAAGAUGGAAUUGUAUAACCCUAAGUGUGCUGUAACCCUAAGUGUGCUGUAACCCUAAAGUGUGCUGUGACUUUAAGAGCGCUGUAACCUAAGUAUGACAUAAUCAUAAGAGUGAUGAAAGUAGAAUCUUAAGUGGUAUGGAACUGAUAAGGGUGUGCCCUGAACUGGACAAGGAGUACCCCCGAACUGGACAGGGUGCGCCCUGAAAUGGACAGUGUGAUAAGUCUGAACCAAUACCACAAGCGCCCAGUUAGAAUAGUAUAAAAGGAGCUGAAGACCCCAAGCAAGUCGACGAUCCAUCCACCGACCAGUCGACCAGUCAAUCUGCUGAUCUGAUUACCAACCGAGACAUCUGCACACCUGAUCCCACUGGAAGGAGCGUCUCCGCCGACCAGACGGGACCAGAGGAUGAGGCAAGCAGAGAGACGGAUAGCCUAACUCCGACUCGACGCCCUUCUUCUACGGAUCGGACCCUCUGACCCUACGGGAGGAAACGUCGCGCUCCCAUAAGGACUUGCGCAGUACAGGUACAGGGACGUGGUAAUUGGCAGACUUAAUAUUGUGUGGUAAUUGUAUUGAAGUGAAUUAUGAUAAGUGUGUGAACUGCCGUCCGUGUCCGAGUCCUCUUUACCCACGGUACCUGCUCACGACAAUAGCCAAAGGGAAUGAAAUCAGUAUGUAGAAAAGGCAUUUUCCCUCCAUGUUUAUUGUACCACCAUUUGCAAGAGCCACAAAGUGGAAACAACUGCAGAGUCCAACAGAUAAUGCAUAAGAAAAAGUGGUAUCACGAUGGUAUGUGAUUCAGCUAUAAAGCAUUAAAUUCUGCCAUUUAUGACAACGUGGAUGGAGUGGGAGAUCAUUUUGCUAAGCCAAGCACAGGUAGAAAAGUACUAUGUGAUCUUAUUCAUAUGUGGAAGCUAAAAAUGCUGACCUCACAGGAACAUAGGGAAAUGGCUAGAGGCAGCCAAGAGUGGAGGAGGGAGGAGUGGCAAAGGCUGGCCCACAAGAACUGAGGGACAGUUGUACAAAAGUAAGAGCUCUGCUAUGCCACUGCACAGAAGAGUUACUAUGGGAGACAUUCAUCUGCUGAACACUUUGCUUUCCAAGUGAUGGGUGCAGUUACUGUUCCUCCUGUUGCCUCCUGCAGAGGCACAGUCUUCUAUCAAAGUCCCUAUUUCCUGGACAGGAUUCCAGAUGCUGCAGCCUGUUUGACUCCCAGGAUAUAAUCCAGGAAAGAAUGGUGGGAGACUUGAUGAAUAUGAACAAGAAGGGUGAACCCUAGAAGGAAAGUCCUCAACAGGUGAGAAGGACAAUGACUGGUGCACACGCAGAGAGCACAGCCUGAGAAAGGGCUCUCAACAACAGAGACAAAGGCACAAAACAUUUCUUCUCCCAGCACUGAAGAGUUCUGCAGGAGACUGGCCACAUCUGUAAUGAGGGCAUCCCGGACGGCUUGGAGCUGAGCCAGGCUCUCCAGCCAUAGGAGGGGAGGCCAGAAGGCCAAGAUGCAGAAGGUGCAGCACUGAUGAGCUGACUCCAGCAGCUCAAAGUCCACAGUCAGCUGGCUCCAAAGCAGGGAACAUCACAGAGGAGAAACAGUCCAUGGCAAAGCAGGGCAGACAGAAGGCAGCAAAGCAGUGAAGCAACAGCAGCAGGCCAAGUAGCAACCAAAGUAGCAAGUGAUGACAGCAGCCCGGAACCACUGAGUGUGCAAGAAUUUUAGGAGACAAAGCCUGUGAAGAGCUUCGUCCCAUCCCUGGCCCAGGAUGAACAUUCAUCAGAGCUGACACUGAUGAGAAUUUGGGCUCGGCCAAGGUCCUGCAUGUCUGAGGCAGCUCCUCGAGUGUGACUUGGGGCUCCUGGAGGCUCCCACGGUUCUGCAGUGAAGACUGGAGAGCAGCAGGCAUCUUAGCUCUCAAAUGUAGCACCACUUAAGAGAUGGGUUUGAUUUCCCUGAAACUGUUUGGACCUAUUUGUAUAAAAUUUUAUAUGGAAUAGAUAGUGUGAGAUUUUUAAGUAAUUAUUUUGUGGUGACUUAAAAAAUUAGUUUUCAAAUAGAGAUGUAAAAGUUUUGAAAAUAUAUUUGUGUUAAUUUGGAAUCCAUAUUAAAAAUUAAUAAAAAAUAUGGAGAGUAAUAUAAUUCUUGUUAAAUUUAUG